rnacentral:lncRNA from 1 species
UUGUGUAAUAUUUUAUUUGACACUGUCUUACGCUUUAGAGGAAAAAGAACUUGUAGCUUAAAAAUUAUUAAUUGGAGCACACACUAUUUAGCAUUGGAUUUCAUUUUUAAGGCAAAGGAGUAGCACAGGUUUUAUCUUAUUGAGGAGAUUGUACAUAAAUAUGCGGGGGGGGGUGAUAAGCCAAUAAAUAACAUUGCUUCAAACGCUAUAGAGUCCAGUUUAUUUCCUGCAGUACAAAACGAAUACAGAAAACACAUUUGGAAGGAUCACAGUGUUUUGAACAUUGGAACAGCCGUUUUAAAGACAGUAAGGUGCAUCUCUAAGCUUCUGACUCAACCCUGCUUCCAAAGAGAUUUCAUUAUACCCUGCACUGGCUGUGAGCAAAGAAAUUUCCCACAUGAAGGGAAGACAACACCCACGGUCUGUAGCACUUCCCCUGCCAGGAACCACCAAAAGCAAAAGCUACAAUCUGAUGAGCAUUGGCAAGUUGAUCCUUCUCGGUCUGCACACCGCCUGACUUGCCUCAGUGACCAUGUCUUUGUGUAUUAUCGUUUGCCAUUGUGUCCUUGAGAACAAUGGAUACAUUCGAGCUUAUGUUUGCUAGUUUCCCUGUCAAAUGCCUAGAUGGAUUUUGACUAAAGAUCGAUUUAAUGACAUGUACUGCAUUUGACUUUCUUGCUAGGACUGAAAUACCCAUUAUUUUCUUAAAAGAUUAAGGACACGAUAAUAGGCUUCUAGAAAGUGGUUUUUUUGGUAUAAUAAUAUGUCAUAUUACCAGAGUAUUUGAGAAUUUGGUUUUAUUAUAAAAUACAGUAGUCUUAACAUUUUGUGAUAUAGUAAAAUAUCUGACAGAAUGUUCUGCCCUAAAUUUAGACCUAACUGCUACAGAUGUGUCUUUGAAAGUGCCUCAAAGUACCCCUAAAGAAAUAUAAUAAUUAGCAGUAUGUCAUAGAAUCUGUUGUGGGCAAAAGGGGGGGGCAUUUCUGAAGAAGCCUCUUGGGUGCAAGACUUUCAAAAUUUUAGUUAUAUACAACACAUAACUUGGGUUGGAUUCAGUGCUAUUGGAAAUUAGAAUUUUAAAGUCAUAGUAAUCUAUGAUUUGGAGUCUUUUAUAAUAAACAGGUUUUUAACUCUGCAUUUGUGCUGAGGCGAAUGAAUUGCCAAGAGUACAAUUUUAUUAAUACUAAUUUAUUGAGCAGUUCUUCAACAUUCAAUAGUACAUUCAUAGUAUGUAUUCAUUUCUAAAUACAGUUAGGAAUAAGCAGUUAUAGUCUAUGGACAGAUUAUUGUUUUGUAUCCACCCCAAAUAAAUAAGGAAUUGCACUAGUUUACCAGUGUAUGUGAAAUGUAUCAUUAGGGAGGUGAGUUUUUUCCCUCCAAUGAUACAGUCAUAUUUCUGUAAGUAUUGUGAAUUGUGCAAAAAAAUCUUUUUUGAUGAAGUAAAUUCUAUUACCCUUGCGAAAUGCACAUUCCAAAACCAACAUGUGGUGCUUGACUAUUCCCCAGUAUAUGGCUCUGCAAAGUGAUUUCCCCUAAUAAUGGGAUUCUACUAAAUCCAUUUAAAAAUUUUGUGUUAAUUUAGCGCCAUUGACUCCGUAAGAUUCAAAUCUCUAAUAUUGAAAUACGAAAGUCCUAAAAAACAGACAGAACUGAUCAUUUAAAUCACUCUUCUUAUUUGAACACAUCCACAUAGGAGGGUUAACGGGGACCAAGUUCAGCGACAGCAGGUAUUUAAUUGGUAAUUGCCACUUAAGCGCAGAUCGUAAGACAAAACUUAUGGGGCAGCAUCAGAGGUCUCACGAAAACAAAGGCAAAAAGAUCAUUCGCUGAAGAUCAAGAGUCAGUAAGCAGAGUGUGUAUCUUCUCUAAGCUGAUUGCUAAGUCAUAGAUAGCUACUUUACGCGGUUUACAAUCAGAGGACACAUUAAAGCAUGGAAAUGAACACCACGCACAAGAUUUUUUUUUUUUUUUUAAAGAGCAUUAGCAGGAACGGUAUUUACUCUACUCAGGAAACUGGAUUCUGUGUUCACACAUAUCCACAUUCAGACGUUUCUCCCCUGCUGUUGGUAGGGUGCUCACCAUUACUGAGACAAUGAGAGGAAGGUGUGUGGCUCUGGGCCCGCUUGCAAGAUAUCACAGCCAUCUAUCUGCUGGUUUCAGUUUAGCACUGGUUGGAGAACAAGAACACAUUAUCUUGGCUCUCAGGGGAUUCUGGAUACAAAGAAUGAGAAGAGAGAAGCUCCAACAAGAGUGGAGAAGGAGGGCGAAGAUACAAAGUUUCUCUUAGGGAGAGAUACUUGUGGCAAUUUCCAGACGUCUUGUCCCCCAGAGUGUCCUAAAACAUGACCUGGGGUCUUUGUGAGGCCACGAUCAUUCAUAGGACUUGAUACUUGGGAACAGAACCAUUGUUCUGGUAUCUUUCACGGGCCUGGGGCGGGGGCAAGGGGUGUUAAAACACCUCUGUAGGAAAAAAAAAAAAUACUAUUCUAAGCAUACCAUAAAUGUACCAUGCCGGACCAAGCGUGGGUUUAUAGUGGUAUCCAGGUAACAGCCAGGAUUGGGAGUUGAGUCUUAGAGACACAGAGCUCAACAACGUCAAGCAGGUUCCUUGACCCAGAAGGAUUUGCUCAGGGUGUGUGAUACAUCAGCGCGCCAUGGACCCCUCCAAAAGGGGGUACAGGAAUAGAGCCUUCCUAACUUAUUUCUCACUGCAUCUGUUUCUCCACAAGGCAGCUCUUUGGGUCCCGGUGUUCUGCAUUUGGGGAAACCCUGCAGGACUCAAACAGCAAGCGAUGUUUGGUUUCCAUCAUCUCAUGCAACCACGCAAACAUGCAUGUGCUGAAGGCGAACCUUCCGAUACUGUGGGACAGCAGAGGGAUGCCAGCCCUGCUGUCCAGUGCGGUAGCCACCCCACGGGUGGCUCUUGGGCACGUGCAGUGUGGCUAGUGUGAUCUGAGAUGUGCAGGACGUGCAAAAGACACACCAGAGUGGGAAGAGUCGGUCCCCCCAAAUGUCCAGUAUCUCAAUAACUGUCUCGCGAUGACAGGCUGAAAUGAUAUUUUGGCUAGACUGAGGUAACUCCACGACAUUAUUAAAAUGAUUUUCACGUUUUGGAAACUUCUGCAAUGUGGUUACUAGAAAAUUUUCAAGUGACAUAUGCGGCUCACAUGUGCGACUCUAUUUGUGAAACUCACAUCUCUUAUUAUUGUCUACAGAUGGCUAUUAAUGGCUUUAACCUGGGAGAAGAAGUUUUAAUGAAAAUGAAUGCUUCAGACAGACAACUAGAAGUGUAACUUAGGACCCUCAGCAAUGAUGUGCUAGUUUAUUAGAGAGCAGUUAACACACAAUGAAGAGCCCUUCAUUCAUCACUUUAGGCCUGCAUAUACCUGUUCACUCAGAUAUAUUUAAGAGUUAAAUGCUGGGUUUCGUUUCAUCUGUGAUGCUGACUUUAACUCCGUCUCUCUUACACACACACACACACACACACACACACACACACAGUUUCCUACAGGGACUAACAAAAACCAAACAGGAAGCAAACAGGAAGUCCUUGCAAACCUUGUUUUCACCGUCUGCAACAGUCAAGCCUCCUCUAUCUUUUCUCCCUCCCUCCCUCUCCUUCCUGGAUGUCGUGCGGAGGAGAAAGGCAAGAAGACAAAGAAAAGGUCACCUGCUCUUUGAACCAUGCUCCUCCCCAGCCCUCUCCCCACUACCCGAGCAUCAAAAUAUGGAUGAUCUGGUUUUCAUUUUAAAGAAUUGCUUCAAAUUCAGUUCAGAGGCGUUUAACAGGUACACAAAGCAAAAGCAGCUGCAGGAAAUUCUGCAGAGAGGGGACUUGGCUGUUUGUGGAAACGUCCACCCGGAAAUGACAAGGUUCAGUCCUUUGAGCAAACAAAAACAAAUAUAUUUGCACCCCCAGAGGCAUCAUCCGGCAGGCCUCAAUUCCUUAGCACUUUCAAUGAACGAACGACCCAAGGAGAGAGAGGGCACCCCCUCUGUGAGAUUUAUGAUAAUGCAGGAGGCCCAGAUAGUUCAUGUAGCAUGAACUUGGGUUUGGGGCUUGGUUUUUUUUUUUUUCCCUCCCCCAACAGUACACAUAAAAUGACCAGGGUUCUUUGUAGAGGAAAAGCGGGUUGCAUGCAGCUGCUGCUCUCCUCUCGUGAACAGCUGCACCCUGGAGUGGGCUGACGGCAGAAUGGGCCCCACUCCUUCUGCUGCUGACCUUGAGGUCGCCCUUUCCAUCCGGAGGGGAGUCCAGCCUUCCUGAGCCUGGAGCUCUUAGCCACCAACUGACAUGGAUGGCCGAGAUAAGGAGAGAGCCUGCCCUCCCGGGCGGAAAGGGGGUCACAUGAUUAAGCAGACGCGGGGCAGGGAUGGGGGGGGGUGGGAUGGGGACCAGUCAGAAAGUACUCUUUAAAGAGGAGGAGGACAAGAAGUUGCUGAAUCAGGGGUGGUUUGGGAUUAGUGGUCCCAGGAAGCAAUACAACCCAUGAAGAAGAUGACUGGUCUUGAGCAGCCUUCAACGUGCCUCCACAACUCAGGCUGAGAUGCUGAGCUGCGAGGCAGCCAGCUUUCCCCACCCACCCCUUUGCCUGCCUUCUCAUCUGCUUUCCUUGCCAGGUUUAUGCCCCAAUCACCCGGCCUUGGUGAAUAUGAGGCUUAGUCAUUUUGCUAUUAAUUUGGCACCGUGUUGAAUAAAUAACCCAGGUCCCCAAAGGAAGGCCUUAUAAUGCAAUUGAGAGUAUUGUUUCUGUCGCCAUAGGUCAGGCAGGCCAAACUCCACCCCAAGUGACGGUAUUGCCCAGUUCAUUUUUUGCUCUGCCCACCCAGCCCGCACAGCUCCUUUUCUCCAGUGACUGGUAUUGUAAUCCUGUUUCCAGCGAGCCAAAUAAAUAUUUGCAUUAAAAGGCGCUCCGAGUAAACCAGCCUAUUUCUAUGUAUUCAGCCCCGGUGAGUCAGAACUUUCUCAGGCACAAAGGUACAGUCAAAUUUGGUUCUAGAAUAUUAAAAAAAAACAAAACAAAACAAAACAAAAAAAAACCCUACUUUGUUUUUACCCAUCAAGUGAUCCAGACUCCAAGCCCUGCAUUUGGCUGAAAUGCUUAUUCGAGGUCAUAAGUGAGCACGAUUUUCUGUGUGUAGUAGGGACUUAAAAUAUAGCUUUCCCUUUUAGACACAUAAAGGACCUGCAUAUUACAAAACUCUUUUCUAUCCAUUUUAUCAGUGACCACCCUGUGGGGUGGGGAAGGUGAUGGUGAUGGCAAUUGCAGUGGGCCGUGGAGGACGAGCAAGGCUUUGAGAUUUCCAAAACGAGGCUCUUUGCGUUACGAAGGUUUUUUUCUUUUAAUUGUGUUCCCUGAACAUGGUUAUAAGUCACACACUUCCAGUCGCUGCAUGGAAAUUACUGAGAUUUGCUCUCUGCAGAAAUGGAAACCAUUUGAGCACUGCCUUGAUGAAAAUCUCGAGUGUGUCAAAGAAAGUUAAGGGAACGAAUUGUCAGGGAAGAGCUCCCAUUUAGCACAGACCCAGAAAAUGACUCUGUUUCUCGAGGUAUCGGAAAGUGAAUAUUAUCUUCAUAAUGUAGCCCAUUCCCUGAAGAAGCACAGGGGAAUGUAUGUGGUCAAACCUCUGUUCUCAGUCACAAAGGAAACGAAAGAGGAGUUCCCGUCGUGGCGCAGUGGUUAACGAAUCCGACUAGGAACCAUGAAGUUGCAGGUUCGAUCCCUGGCCUCGCUCAGUGGGUUAAGGAUCCGGCGUCGUCAUGAACUGUGGUGUAGGCUGCAGAUGUGGCUCGGAUCCCGCGUCGCUAUGGCUGUGGCGUAGGCCGGUGGCUACAGCUCCGAUUCGACCCCUAGCCUGGGACCCUCCAUGUGCCGUGGGAGCGGCCCUAGAAAAGGCAAAAAGACUUAAAAAAAAAAAAAAAAAAAAA